rnacentral:tRNA from 1 species
CAAAAGGUAGUUUUAAAAUAUUGGCUUUGGGAGCUAAAGAUGGAUUUACCUCUUCUUUUGA